UGGACGUGUAAUAAUUGUAGUUUAAUUGGACUUUGGUGCAUUUGGAAGUUGUAUAACUUGUUUCAUUUGAAGUCUAAUAGUCAUUAACAACUAUGUAUUCAACAUGAUUUUAAUAUUAUUUCAAACAAUUUCUCCAUAUUAAUUUCAUGUUAUCUAUGUAUGUAUGUAGAACUUCAUGUAUGAAAGUAAAAUGAACCUUGAAAAUGGAUUAGUGAAUUCAAAUAUUUGAAUGCACCUCUUUAAUCAUGUCAUAAUGAAGUAGGUGUAUGAAUGUGAAUGGAGUUAUAAAGUUCAAA
rnacentral:lncRNA from 1 species